UACGGAGGGGCUAGCGUUGUUCGGAAUUACUGGGCGUAAAGCGCACGUAGGCGGCUUUGUAAGUUAGAGGUGAAAGCCCGGGGCUCAACUCCGGAAUUGCCUUUAAGACUGCAUCGCUAGAAUUGUGGAGAGGUAAGUGGAAUUCCGAGUGUAGAGGUGAAAUUCGAUAGAUAUUCGGAAGAACACCAGUGGCGAAGGCGACUUACUGGACACAUAUUGACGCUGAGGUGCGAAAGCGUGGGAGCAACAGG
rnacentral:rRNA from 1 species